rnacentral:ncRNA from 2 species
UCAAUAAAAUUAAUUGCAGGUGUUUCUCCCGCAAACAAUGUGGGCGUUAAAAGGGAAUCCAUAUCUUGUUUUUAUACAAAUGAGAUGAGGAGCGGACCCGCCGCUGUAACCGGGAACGAAAGUCACAAUACCACUGGAAAAGCCGUUUAAACUAUUCAAACAGCUUUCUGGGAAGGGGUGGCCGGUAGGAUGAUCCGGGAGCCAGAAGACCUGCCUGUAAUUACUUCACGUA